rnacentral:rRNA from 1 species
GAUGAACGCUGGCGGCGUGCCUAAUACAUGCAAGUCGAGCGAAUGGAUUAAGAGCUUGCUCUUAUGAAGUUAGCGGCGGACGGGUGAGUAACACGUGGGUAACCUGCCCAUAAGACUGGGAUAACUCCGGGAAACCGGGGCUAAUACCGGAUAACAUUUUGAACCGCAUGGUUCGAAAUUGAAAGGCGGCUUCGGCUGUCACUUAUGGAUGGACCCGCGUCGGAUUAGCUAGUUGGUGAGGUAACGGCUCACCAAGGCAACGAUGCGUAGCCGGACGGAGAGGGUGAGCGGCCACACUGGGAGUGAGACGCGGCCCGAGCUCCUACGGGAGGCAGCAGUAGGGAAUCUUCAGCAAUGGACGAAAGUCUGACGGAGCAACGCCGCGUGAGUGAUGAAGGCUUUCGGGUCGUAAAACUCUGUUGUUAGGGAAGAACAAGUGCUAGUUGAAUAAGCUGGCACCUUGACGGUACCUAACCAGAAAGCCACGGCUAACUACGUGCCAGCAGCCGCAGUAA